AUUGAUUCAUCCAUGGAGGAAAAGGCUGCUUUCUGGAGGUCAGAAGUCUGACAGUGCUGGCAGGGCCGCUUUCUCAUGGGGGCUUCAGGAGAGAAUCCUUUUCUUUGCCGUUUCCACCUUCAAGAGGCCACUUGCAUUCCCUGGAGUGUAGCUACUUCUGCUUUCAAGGACAGUCACUCCAACCUGUUUCUAUCUUCAUGUUUCCUUGUUUUUGAUUUGUUCUGUUUUGUUUUGUUUGGCCCUCUUUGCCCACCUGUAUAACCCAGUAUCAUCUCAUAUUAAGACUGUCACGCGCGUUCGUGUGAAGAGACCACCAAACAGACUUUGUAUGAGCAAUAAAGCUUUUUAAUCACCUGGGUGCAGGCGGG
rnacentral:lncRNA from 1 species